rnacentral:lncRNA from 12 species
AUUUGGGCCCAGGUCCUUCAGGAAACACCUAAUCUCUUUAAAGAGCUGCAACAAACAUUAAAGGGUUUCAAGCAAGAGAAACCACAGAAGUAGGCAGCAACUUCUGGAGCUUAUGGCGAGAUGAGCCUUAGCCCUACAAAGUUUUAUCUCUGAGUUACUGCGCCUGACUAUUCAUUGAAGCGAG